CUUUUUCAUAUGUUGCUAAUGUAUAUUUACAGUUGAUUAUACAAAAUUUACACUUUUAUGCAUGAUGUUAUGGCAUUGUGGUUUUAGUGCUAAUAACAGGAUAUGUUAUAGCUCACUACUGUGAGGCCAACUGGCUAAGUAACCUAAGUUAGAUUUAACUGACUUUUUUACUGAAGUUGAGUGUUAAAGGUUUUUGAGUCAUUUAACUCUUUUCUACUUUCUCCUAUUACUUAUUAUAUAUGUGUAACAGUCGGUCUGUCAUUUGCUGCUGAUUUAGAGUAAAUAUGGUUCAGGCAACAAACAAUUUACAAGCUAUCCUUUUGUUUAUCUUUUAUUGCUUUUAUGUCUCUAUUCUGCAAAAAGUGUUCUAUUCAGAACAUUCCUGCACAGCAUAGUGGAUAAAUUUGUUGUUCCUUCACCUAACUUUUGGUACCUGUUAUCUUUUCCAGCACUUUUGAUUGUAGUCUUUUUAAAAUUCCACUUCAGAGUGAACUUUGGAGCUGCCAGCUAACCUAUUUAGGUCUUUUUCAAUCUUCA
rnacentral:lncRNA from 1 species